UGCAGUCAGUUAAAAAAUGGCAAUUGCAUUAUUCAGAAUGCAAACGUUUGCUCAUCUGCUAGUCGUGUUGGUCAUCUGUACGCGGAUGUUGGACUUUGGAGCUGAUAGUAGAAACAUAGUGUUAAGUACAACACCUAUCAUAACCAUUUUGAAAAGAAAUCCCAAGAUGACUGCGCCAACAAAGAAAAAAAUAAGUUAUAGAUUCACUUUGCCGCUCUCGCUAGCUCUGCCCUUGGAACAGCGCCAGGAAUUGAUGGACAAUUGCAGUUCCUUUGGCAGCUCAUGCCAAUAUGCCGAAAACUGUUGCACGCUACUGUGUUUAAGGCACAAAUACGUCUGCGUAUCGUAGGAUGAGCCUAAAAUUGGAGAAACAUAUUUUGUUAUUAACUAUGUUAUAGGACGAUAUAAAAAAUGCUUUGUGGAAAUAUGUUUCGUCUUGGCAACUGCUUCAUGCGUGCAUAUAUUGCCUGCUGCUCAAGUAUUUGCGUCUUGCAUUGCAUUUGCAAUUGCAAUUUCGCAAAGGUUAGUUGACUUUGAAAAACUCGGAACUGAAGUCGUCUGAGGCACAAUCACAUGAGCUCUUGCACAUAGCUUGAUCUCAAAGAGAUUCCUUAAGCAGCUAGGCGUCUCUCUCUCUCUCUCUCCCCUCUCUCUCUCUCCCCCUCUCUCUCACCUGUGUGUGUGUGGGUGUGGUCGUCUACUUAAAGCAGUUUCCAGCAGCUGGUCGCAGUUUCUUCUGGGGAAAUGCAAUCAAAAAUAGUCGAGAUUGAAAACAUUUUUAAGCACAGCAAGCAGAAACAAUGAUCGACUGGGAUAUACUCUGGCUCCAUCAUUUAUUCUGUAUAACGUUAUAACGUAUAAAAAUAUAAAUAUAUAUGCAGAAAGGCAAACUGAAGCAACUGCAGUCAGUCGACUAAAAUUAUAAAUCAUACAUACACGACUUAUGUGUAUGUUUUUUUCUUUGCAAAGCUUGAGCUACAUUGACAAAGAUAUAACAGUUAUUUUGGCCUUAACAACUGCCAGCAAAACUAAAAAAAAAAAAAAAAAUAUUGUUUACUCUCACUUGAUAAGCUUAAAAGUCAUACAAAAUAAGAACAAGUAAUGAGAAGUAGCUCUUAUCCCAACAGCCAAAUAAUAUGGACUUUAAAUUAGUAUGCACUCGUUUUGAAUGGAAAAUUGAAUUCACGUUGCCAACCCUGAAAUUGAUUCUAGACACCACAAAUAUCACUGCAUAAUUGCUGGAAAUAGAUAGCAUCAAACGGAAAUGGAAAAUAUUUUAAAGGCAAAGCAACAAAAAAAGAGAGAAUGCGAAAAAUUGUUGGCCAAAGUGCCAAAGCGAAGAAAACAAGUGGAAAGCAAAGCACAACGAAUAAAAUUGACUAUUAAGACAAACAAAAUGAUGGUUGGCAUGAAAUUGGCCAACCCAGCCAUGCCCAAUGGUCUCUCACUGGGCGAAGCGAGGGUGAACGGGCAUUGGAAUAACUUAGCGUGAAGCUGAUAAUCUUUGACAGGCUAAAGUGUCCUUGCUGCCAGCUUCCCAAAUGACACGCGUCAUAAAAGGUGCCCGAGGGUUUCAGUCAACAAAAUGUCAAAGAACAGCCGCACUUUGCGCAAGUGCCUUUUAGUUAGAUAUGUUCAAGGUCUGACGCUUUAAGAUAAGCUAAAAGAUCACUUGUCUUAAAGCCAGCGAGCAUUCGUAGCGAUUCUUUAGAAAAUCCAGUUACUUGCUGAUCCCCGACUCAUAAUGAUUGGAAAACCAUAUUCAAUAUUCGAAAGUCAUAGCAGUCAAAACACAAAUUUAUGUCAUGUCAGCUAUCUCCCCCCGCUCUCUCGUAAACAUUUUUUGACUUCGGUUCGACCACUAAAGCAAUUUAAAAUUCCGAAUCGAAAGUUUGUGUUCAUUAAAAUGCAAUCGAAUUCCGGCAGCUUACGAGAGAAUUCAAUUACAGUUUGUCACAUGUGCGACGCACAAAGGUAUGCAACAUUUUAUAGAAAACUGUAUGUGCCAUCAAGAUGAGUUCGUCUCUCUGUUAAUGACUUUCUGUGUGUUCGUAGAGAGCAAAGCACUUCAAUCACCUGAUGCACAGUUUUUGUUAAUACUUACUUAAAGCUUACCUUAUGACAUUCAACUGCAAUGCAUUAGAAACUAGAUAGAAAAUUCAGAUUGAAAUAUUAUCAAAUACAAUUUAAUAUAUAUUAUUAUACAUAUUAUCAACAAAAUUAAA